rnacentral:rRNA from 1 species
UACGUAGGGGGCAAGCGUUGUCCGGAUUUAUUGGGCGUAAAGAGCGUGUAGGCGGCCUGAAAGGUCAGCUGUGAAAACUCGAGGCUCAACCUCGAGACGUCGGUUGAAACCAUCUGGCUAGAGUCCGGAAGAGGAGAGUGGAAUUCCCGGUGUAGCGGUGAAAUGCGCAGAUAUCGGGAGGAACACCGGAGGCGAAGGCGGUUCUCUGGGCCUUACCUGACGCUGAGGAGCGAAAGCGUGGGGAGCGAACAGG